rnacentral:rRNA from 1 species
AUGGUGAUCAAGCAUGAGAAAUGGAUGGCGCAGUACGGCCGCGUGUACAAGGACGCCACAGAGAAGGCGCGCCGGUUCAAGGUUUUCAAAGCCAGCGUUGAAUUCAUUGAAAGUUCAAUGCCCAGACUCACAAGUUCUGGCUCGGCGUCAACCAAUUCGCUGAUAUCACCAAUGAUGAGUUCAGGACAACCAACACAAACAAGGGGUUCAAAGCAAACUCCAUGA